GUUGAACACAACAGGCUGAUGGAGAGAAAAUCCCCAUAUAGGUGAAAGAAUGAGGUUUAACAUUAACAGAAUAAGGUUUUAGAAGAGAUGGGACUCCGGCCAGGCACGGUGGCUUACACCUAUAAUCCCAGCACUUUGGGAGGCCGAGCCCAGGUGUUCAAGACCAGCCUAGGCAACAAAAUGAGAACCUGUCUCUACAAAAAAUAAAAAAAUUAGCCAGGUGUAGUGGCGCGCACUUGUGGUCCCAACUGCAAAGGAGGCUGAGGCAAGAGAAUUGUUUGAGCCCAGGAAGUUGAGGCUGCAGUGAGCCAUGUUCACAUCACUGCGAUUCAGCCUGCGUGACAGAACAAGACCACAU
rnacentral:lncRNA from 10 species